UACGGAGGGUGCAAGCGUUAUCCGGAUUCACUGGGUUUAAAGGGUGCGUAGGUGGGCAUGUAAGUCAGUGGUGAAAUCUCUGGGCUUAACCCAGAAACUGCCAUUGAUACUAUAUGUCUUGAAUACCAUGGAGGUGAGCGGAAUAUGUCAUGUAGCGGUGAAAUGCUUAGAUAUGACAUAGAACACCAAUUGCGAAGGCAGCUCACUACGCGGUCAUUGACACUGAGGCACGAAAGCGUGGGGAUCAAACAGG
rnacentral:rRNA from 1 species